GGUCCCACAGCUCCCCAAGACAGUGCCACCAGUCUGGUAACUGGGCUUUCUGGCUCCUGGCUUUUGUUUUGUUUUUAUUUUCAGGCAGGAGUUCACUACACACUUGAGGCUAGCCUGGAACUUACUAUAUCGCCAAGACUGGGCUCAAACUCCAAAUCCUCUCACCUCUGACUGGAAUGCUGGGAUUCUAGGAAUGUGCCACCACGCCUAGUGUGUCUGGAGCCUCUUAACCGUUGUGCUAAACUGUUUGGGGAAGCAAACUGAUUCUGUGACUCAGUUCUCAAUAAAUGAUCCAAUGUACGGCUGUGAGUGAGAUGCGCACACGGAAUUUCCCGUGUGUAAGGCUCAGUCUGGACCUCUUCAGCUAGACCGACAUGUGCUCUCGGGAUCAUCUCACGAUACGGCUGCCAUUUCUGUCUCCACCGUACAGAUGGAGUGGGAGGAGGUGGAGGAGAUUCCCCCAGACCAUCAAACAGCAAACUCAUCUUCCUUACCACCUUCAGCUGCCUCUGUAUCUCUCUCCUCUUUGUCUCCAUCUACUUUAUCUACAGACGCACUCAGCAAGGUUCAUCACAUGAAGAGCCCCCCAAGAGUGACACCGAGUGACCCCAUGUGUAAAUAUGAACAUGAAGCCUGCUGGGGUGAGUGACACCUGGAAUCCAACACACAGGAGGCAGAAGCGGAAGACUGUGAAUUUGAGGUCAACCUGAGCUGCAUAUGGACAGCAUAUCCCAACACACAUACACAGAGAUGCACACAGAGAUGCACACAGACAGACAUACACAGACACAGAAACACAGAUACAUACACACAGGUACACAUACAAGCACGCAGAGAGACACAUACACACACGCACAUGCUUUGCUUCCAAAGUUCCGUCACUCUGGUUUGCAAGGCAUUGUUUUAAUAUAGGAAGGAAUGAAAGUGUGAACAUUUGGAUUAUCUAUAUAAAUAUCCUUAGCUCAUGAGCAGCUUUUGGAUAACUUUCUUUUUUUAUGAUUUUUGGUGUUUGGGAUUGUUUUUUUUUUUUUU